rnacentral:rRNA from 1 species
UACGGAGGGUGCAAGCGUUACUCGGAAUUACUGGGCGUAAAGCGUGCGCAGGCGGUUUGUUAAGUCCGCUGUGAAAUCCCCGAGCUCAACUUGGGAAUUGCAGUGGAUACUGGCAAGCUGGAGUAUGGUAGAGGAAGGUGGAAUUCCCGGUGUAGCAGUGAAAUGCGUAGAUAUCAGGAGGAACACCGGUGGCGAAGGCGGGUCUCUGGGCCAAAACUGACGCUGAGGAGCGAAAGCGUGGGGAGCGAACAGG